GGCAACGUGGCUGAGUGGUUAAAGCGUAUGACUAGAAAAUCUCUAGAACAUCAUAUCCCUUCGGGGUCACAGGUUCGAGUCCUGUCGUUGUCG